rnacentral:rRNA from 1 species
UGAACGCUGGCGGCAUGCCUUACACAUGCAAGUCGAACGGUAACGGGUUAAGCCGACGAGUGGCGAACGGGUGAGUAAUAUAUCGGAACGUGCCCAAUCGUGGGGGAUAACGCAGCGAAAGUUGUGCUAAUACCGCAUAAGAUCUACGGAUGAAAGCAGGGGAUCGCAAGACCUUGCGCGAUUAGAGCGGCCGAUGUCGGAUUAGCUAGUUGGUGGGGUAAAGGCCUACCAAGGCAACGAUCCGUAGCUGGUCUGAGAGGAUGAUCAGCCACACUGGGACUGAGACACGGCCCAGACUCCUACGGGAGGCAGCAGUGGGGAAUUUUGGACAAUGGGCGCAAGCCUGAUCCAGCAAUUCCGCGUGAGUGAAGAAGGCCUUCGGGUUGUAAAGCUCUUUCGGCAGGGAAGAAACGGCAGGCUCUAACAUAGCCUGCUAAUGACGGUACCUGAAGAAGAAGCACCGGCUAACUACGU